AGAGAGGCAAGCUGCAAGAGAAACACAAAUGAGAGUAAUCAAUUUAUUUUAUAGGAAAAAUAAUAGCAAAGAUUUUGAUGUCUUCCUUAAAUACUAAAUGAUUUCUAGAAGGCAGUCUACAAACAGAAAAUACAGGAGCUACCACAAACUUCAAUUAGCCUGUAAUUUCAAAACAUUCAUGACAAAGAUGAUCACCAUCUAAAUGCGAAUAUUUGGAGCAUAAUACAAUCAACUAGUACCAGAAAUGCAGGUAUAAUGUUCACAUUCAACUUUGUUGGGCUGCAUGGUCUUGAAUGAGGCAUUUGGACACUUAGAAUGAGUUUAAUUAUGCUAUUAGCAUAUAAUUGUUAUUACCAUGAUGCAAGUAAAGGUUACAAUUAGGACUGUCAAGUGGAUUAGUAGGUGAAACUUUUUAGUAUAUUAGCUCAAUGACAUGCUAUUUGCAAGACUUAGGAGCCUAAGAGAUAUUACCUAAUGCCAACGAUAUCACGAAAUUCUUCCUCCAUGUUUCGAAGCAUAUAAUUAUGGAAAUCGUAUGUCAAAGGAAGUUCAUGUGUAGUGAU
rnacentral:misc_RNA from 1 species